UCAAGCUAUGCAAUCAAGAGUCAAUUUUAUUAUUAUUAUCAAUUAGAUAUAUAUCUAAUUAGAGAUAGAAAGUGUUUUCGUUUCUUUGAACGCAUUAAUUUUUUUACCGAAUUUAAUACUGUACCUACAAAAUAUUAAACAAGAAUUAUUAUGAGUUUGAAAACAAAAAUGCAACUGCAAAUUUUUUAUGUAGCCUGUUACUACAAUAAUGACUACAACUCCUAAGUCAAAAUUCGUCUAGAAAUUGAGGUGUAGAGCUUCUAAAGUAAUAUACAAACAUACAUUCACUCGGAAAACAUAACCCUCUUUCCUUUUCAGUCGGGUAAUAAACAAAUAUGUUUAAUUACUGUCAGGUACUUGUUACUGUGAAACCGAUACGGAUGUGAUUUUACUGUGGGUGUCGUAAAAUGUGAUUGUAUGGAUAAAGGUCGUAAUAUCGAAGCUUGCUUUUUUAUCACCAAACAUACCAGGAAAGAAACGCAAGCAAGCAAGCAGACAGUUGAAAGGCUGCGGAGGUUCCGUUAUAUCUUGCACCAUUGUCAAUGAUGAAUAGUCAAUACGGAACUUGGCUAAUAAAUUUGCCAUACUGAAACAUGAAUAAAUUUCCAUUUCAUGGUGUCUGUUAGCGAGUGCAAAGAUCCUCAGCUUGCAGUUGGCCCAAGCGCUGCGUUGCGAGAGGAUGUAUGGCAGCAAGAUGGUCAACCCGCCGUCGUCGUACAACCACCAGACAUCUAGAGUUCCGC